GCCAGGUGUGGUGGUGGGCACCUGUAAUCCCAGCUACUCGGGAGGCUGAGGCAGGAGAAUUGCUUGAACCCAGGAGGUGGAGGUUGCAGUGAGCCAAGAUCACACCACUGCACUUCAGCCUGGGCGACAGAGCGAGACUCUGCCUCAA
rnacentral:SRP_RNA from 1 species